CUGUUGUGUAUCCUGGCCUUUGUGCCAAUACAGACUUGCAUACCACAGGGUGGAGCGUGCAAAGAAAAAACGGACUGCUGCAGUAAAUUUUGUUACAGAGGCGAUCCCCAGUGGAGACGUGGAUUAUGUCGA